rnacentral:rRNA from 1 species
GGAAUCUUCCACAAUGGACGAAAGUCUGAUGGAGCAACGCCGCGUGAGUGAAGAAGGGUUUCGGCUCGUAAAACUCUGUUGUUAAAGAAGAACAUAUCUGAGAGUAACUGUUCAGGUAUUGACGGUAUUUAACCAGAAAGCCACGGCUAACUACGUGUCAG